GACGUAGGGCGCGAGCGUUGUCCGGAUUUAUUGGGCGUAAAGAGCUCGUAGGCGGCUUGUCGCGUCGUUCGUGAAAACUUGGGGCUCAACCCCAAGCUUGCGGUCGAUACGGGCAGGCUAGAGUUCGGUAGGGGAGACUGGAAUUCCUGGUGUAGCGGUGAAAUGCGCAGAUAUCAGGAGGAACACCGGUGGCGAAGGCGGGUCUCUGGGCCGAUACUGACGCUGAGGAGCGAAAGCGUGGGAGCGAACAGG
rnacentral:rRNA from 1 species